AGUGAACGCUGGCGGUAGGCCUAACACAUGCAAGUCGAACGGCAGCACAGUAAGAGCUUGCUCUUACGGGUGGCGAGUGGCGGACGGGUGAGGAAUACAUCGGAAUCUACUUUUUCGUGGGGGAUAACGUAGGGAAACUUACGCUAAUACCGCAUACCACCUACCGUUGAAAGCAGGGGAUCUUCGGACCUUGUGCGAUUGAAUGCGCCGAUGUUGGAUUUGCUAGUUGGCGGGGUAAAGGCCCACUAAGGCGAGGAUGCGUAGCUGGACGGAGUGGAGGGUAAGCGGCCUUGGAACGGAGACACGGUCCAGGCGCCUACGGGAGGCAGCAGUGGGGAAUAGUAGGCAAUGGGGGCAAGCAUGGUCCAGCCAUACCGAGUGGGUGAAGGAGGCGUUGGGGUUGUAAAGACCUUUUGUGGGGAAAGAAAAGCAGCAGGUUAAGACCCCGCUGUUCUGACGGUACCCAAAGAAGAAGCACCGGCUAACUUCGUG
rnacentral:rRNA from 1 species